rnacentral:rRNA from 1 species
AACGGAUUAUUCUUUAUAGCUUGCUAUAAAGAGUAGUUAGUGGCAGACGGGUGAGUAAUGCAUAGGAAUCUACCUAGUAGUAUGGGAUAGCCACUAGAAAUGGUGGGUAAUACUGUAUAAUCCCUGCGGGGGAAAGAUUUAUCGCUAUUAGAUGAGCCUAUGUUAGAUUAGCUAGUUGGUAGGGUAAAGGCCUACCAAGGCGAUGAUCUAUAGCUGGUCUGAGAGGAUGAUCAGCCACACUGGAACUGAGAUACGGUCCAGACUCCUACGGGAGGCAGCAGUGGGGAAUAUUGGACAAUGGGCGCAAGCCUGAUCCAGCUAUGCCGCGUGAGUGAGGAAGGCCUUAGGGUUGUAAAACUCUUUCAGUAGGGAAGAUAAUGACGGUACCUACAGAAGAAGUCCCGGCAAACUCCGUGCCAGCAGCCGCGGUAA